UUGAUCUUCUGCAUCCUAGAGUUUCGUUUGGCUUUAGCGCAGUUACAUGUGUCAAAGAUCAAGGCGGACAACUUGGGAAGAGCACAAAAAAUUGUGAAAGAGGCUGCAGGACAAGGUGCAAAAGUUGUAGUGUUACCUGAGUGCUUCAACUCCCCUUAUGGACCCGGGUUCUUUGCUGAGUAUGCUGAGAAGAUCCCAGGAGAGUCCACACAGGUGUUGUCGGAGGCAGCCAAGGAGUGUGGGGUUUAUUUAGUGGGCGGUUCCAUUCCUGAGGAGGAUGGAGGAAAGCUCUAUAACACCUGCUCAAUUUUUGGACCGGAUGGAAAGCUGCUUGUCAAACAC